rnacentral:rRNA from 1 species
UACGAAGGGGGCUAGCGUUGCUCGGAAUUACUGGGCGUAAAGGGAGCGUAGGCGGACAGUUUAGUCAGAGGUGAAAGCCCAGGGCUCAACCUUGGAAUUGCCUUUGAUACUGACUGUCUUGAGUACGGGAGAGGUGUGUGGAACUCCGAGUGUAGAGGUGAAAUUCGUAGAUAUUCGGAAGAACACCAGUGGCGAAGGCGACACACCGGCCCGUUACUGACGCUGAGGCUCGAAAGCGUGGGGAGCAAACAGG